UACGUAGGUGGCAAGCGUUGUCCGGAUUUACUGGGCGUAAAGAGCGCGCAGGCGGUCGUGCAAGUCGCGUGUGGAAGCCCCCGGCUCAACUGGGGAGGGUCACGCGAUACUGUUCGACUCGAAGGCAGGAGAGGGAAGCGGAAUUCCCGGUGUAGUGGUGAAAUGCGUAGAUAUCGGGAAGAACACCGGUGGCGAAGGCGGCGACCUGGUCCGAUACUGACGCUGAGGCGCGAAAGCGUGGGGAGCAAACAGG
rnacentral:rRNA from 1 species